UGCAGAUGAUGGCAGAGAAUGUUUGCUAAGUGACAGUGAGGACGCUUCCUCCACCAAGAUCGCUGAUGCA